CGGUUCGAGUCCGCUUACCUCCACUGAACUACCUUCUGAAAUCGAAGUCUUGGGAGACUUUUCUUCGAUGUGAUCUAGAAUUUGUUCUUGAAUUAUACGAACCUAGCUUCUUAUCAUCCAAUCAUAAUUAUUCAUGGUUUCGUUGAUAUGACGCUGGGCUCUCCUGCAAUUUUAUUGCAGAAAAGUUCAGUA
rnacentral:misc_RNA from 1 species